CUAGGCCAGGAACUAGUCCCAGCAGAAACUGUGAAGUCCAUGCUCUUUUGGAAGCUGAGAGUGGACAGAUGCCCUCCAUGCAGUUGGUCAGUGGUCCUGGGAGCACUAAAUAGCUGUAGCCUGCAUUCCCAGCACAGAUCACACUGGCUCCAGUUACACUUGGAAAUGGACCAGUGCUCUCUGUAUUAGAUCUCAGGGUGUCAAGCAAAGGCUUCUGUUACUGCUCACUGCCUGUGAAAUGUUGAUUUGAGGGACACACUUUGUAUCACAUCCAUGGUCUACAGCUGAAAAAGGGACAGGAUUCAAAUCUCCCACGUCUUCAGCAGGCUUCAGAAAAUGAAUUACAGAACAACUGUCUUUUGAACUGAGUUACUGAAAAGAAAAGAAAGGAAAAGCAAGGAAAAGAAAAGAAAGGAAAAGGGAAGAGCAGAAAACUGGCCUUAUUCAUGAAUGAAAGAGGAGGCAUUUCAAGGAAACUACAGCACAGAAGAAACUUUGGUCGUGACAGUGGAUGUCAUGGAUAAAGGACAGUAGCUGGCAAGAAAUUAUCCUGAGUCUAGAAUUGAAUUCUGCUUGAUGCAAAAUAUGCUGAUCUUUGUUGUCAAACUUAAAUUUCAUCUCCUAUCAAAAAUCAGGAUACAGGCGCUGCUGCAUUCUGGGCUCCCAUUGCUUCUGGAGUGGCCUAUUUAUUUAAAUGACUGGACUUUGUGCAUGUACAAUAGACUGCUUCCUGAGACUUGAGAGCUUUGUAAAAUUACAGUACAAAAUCAACACUGACUGUGACACACCCUGAAUUUCUCGUAUGGUGAAACAAACACAACAGCACAAUAUCAUCUUUCACGUGCAUGCUUCACAGAGAUUGACUAAGUGGGUGAAAUUCUGCAUUUAAGUCAAAAGCAGUAAACCCUGGAAGCAAGUUAAAUCACAGAAUCGCAGAAAUCUUGAGCUGGAAGACACUCAUAAGGAUCAUCAAGUCCAACUUAUUCUUGCAGGACUACCUAAAACUCAGUCAUUUAGGUAUGAGUGUCAUCCAGGCGUUCCUUGAACUCUGAUAGCUUGGUGCAAAGUGACUGACCAAGACCUGGUCUGCCUGCUGUUAUGAUUAAAGUUUAUUGUGUAAAUAACAGUUUAGUCCUGAUACAAAAGAUGUCACUGCGGACAGUGGAUCUAAAGGAGUGUCUGCACUGGCUCACAUCCAGGCACGUCACUCAGGAUGACCGGUUUGAUGUGGGUCAAGAGCUACUCUGGAUGGGAAGCCUCAGCACUCUCUAAGGGUGCAGAACGGUUGUGCCCAGGAGGCGUUUGUUUCUCCAUAGCUUCUGUAGCAGAAUUUUCGGGAGCACCUCUGCACUGUCCCCUAUGACCACGUAAGCCUGUGACCACACCAGCCAGGUGGAAAGGAAUUUCUGAUCUUUUCUGGGCAGUAUAAUAAUGUUCCUGGACUAGUGGCCUAUGUUCCUCUCAGCAUGCUGUGGGAGGUGAAGCUCUGGUACACCUUGCACCAGACAUAUCUUUGCCCGACUGCAUUCCCAUAGCAAGGGCUUUAGCACUUGUGUGCAAGUCCAUGUGCCAUUUCUGGACUGUGCCUCAUGUCCAGAGGUUUCUGUGUCCUCACUCUGUUUCUGUGCUGAAGGCAGAGGAGAAAUUGCAUGUGCAUAAGCUGCUACAUGCCAAAAGUUAAUUGCCAAAUAAAAAGACAUGGGCAGCAUGGGAAAUGGGGUGCACAAAGUUGUGAUUUGCCCAAAGACACACAUGCACAGGGCAGUCUGGACACAUUCCUGAUGGUCUGUGGCCUUGCCUGGCCAUGCUUUUUUGAAGGAAUGAACAUGGAAAGUUUGGCCAUCAGAGCAUCUGAAGGUAGCCUGAAUCUCUCCAGAGUGGGGGGUAGAACAGUGGUGCUUCCUGAGUCUUUUCACGCACAUGAGGAAGGAGGAGGUUAGAGUGAGAUUGAGGAUAAUAGUCCUUUUUAAUCUGGUGCCCCUUUCACCAUCUCUUAUAUCAGCUGCCCUCUUUUCCACCCUAUUAAUUGUAUGAGCGUACCCUUUUAUCAGCUUAAGGGCCUUAAAAUACAGUAUUUGGUAUGUGGAUUAAGGACAAUAUGGUGCACUAAGUAACCCAUGCUGAUGAAUUCCUCUUUGGGGUCAAGUGGUAGAGGAACACUGCAAGGUUGCAUGGUUUUUCUGUGUCACUUACAAAAAUAACAGAUAAAUGGAUGCAGUUUGUCAAACCCCCAGCUGGAGUAAUACAUUUAUGCCUUAAUACAGUAUUUCUCCUGGAGUUUAAAUUAGUUUACUUACUUUCAAUAUCAGAAACCGGAAUGCAUGUACUUGUAGUUUUACAGACAAAUCCAUGCCAAUUUAUUUUGUAUGAAAGGUUAAAUGACUUAACAGCUUUCUCAGAAUAUUCUUUAAUUUCCUGUAUGUUGGAAAAGAAUUCCAAUUUUUUUGCUCCUAAAUAGUGAAAAAAUACAUCAUUAUGGUCUUGGUUUAGCUAUGUAAAUGACUUUACUGAUAAAUGAAAAUUGAUAUUUCAAAUCUGUAGUUUAUUAUAACCUGAUGGCAUGUUAGCCCUUAUCAUUCAAGACAGUACUUAACUCUGUAUAAUACAUCAUGCUAACUCUCUGAAAUUGUUAUGAGUUUUUAAUGCACCAUAAAACACAUCUUGUGAUCUUCAGCAUGCUCAAAUGUCAGUCUAACACAUUAAUCUCACAUACAUCUUGGAAAAAAGUAGUUUGGCAAAAACUGUCUUCAUCUAUAGCUCUACUUGUACUAUGUUGCACACAUGGAUUUAUGUGUAAAUAUGGGAUUUGCAACAUCUGAAUAAAAAGAUUAUCUUUUCUGCACACAAAGCACAGCAAAAUGAGAAAUUCUUCAUUCUGUCGAAAUAUCCUUAUUAAAUAAACAGUGUUGUUGAAAAAGCAGACAUGAUACUGAGGGAAUGUGUGUGAAUAUAUUCUUGGAUUUGCACUUCGACUGUUCAUGUUUUUCCUUUCUGAUGGGAAAUUAUUAGUCUUAGUUUAGAUGAUGCUAUUUUAUUUUACAUUUCUGAGGAAAAUGAAUUAGCUAAUCUUGAACUGGAGGAUGAUGGGCAAGAACAAGGACAGAGAAAUAGAUUCUUCUUGGCUCAGACUCUUGCAGCAUGGAAUUUAUGCAUAGUAUGACCAAAAAUGAUUUGUGAACUGCUGUCUCCAGCCAGGUGGGCCAAGUUUGUGCCUAUUCACAUUUGUGUCCACUCAGUCUGAGAUACUGUGGGCCUUGUGAGGACAGCUGCUGAAGGAAGAUGUACAGUCAGUCAGCUUCUCUCAAAGCCAGAGCUAAACAAUAGGCAGUGUGAUGGGCCAAAAAUGUUUGAUAACCAUCAGAGUCUGCUGAGAUGGAAGCUCAAUCGUAACACUUUCCUUUCAUUUUGUGAUGUUUAAGGUGGAAAAAAGAAGCUAUCAGAGAGAUGUUCAGUUAUCCAAAUAUUCCUGUGGCUGGUCAACACAAGUGGAGGAGUGCUCUGCAAGGCUUACAGUCCAAUUCUUGCAAAGCUGCAAAUUUACCAUUGUACCCUUGGACCCUAGCUGGAAUAAUCACUCAAGGGCUGUGUUCUAAACUUUGCAAAGGCAAGUCCUAAAUUUGUCUCGUUUGUGUCUGCAUUAAUCAAAAUCUUUUAAUUCUGGACUUAAUUUGAUAGGGCCCAUAUGAAAAAUGGUGUAAAAGAUCCCUAGAAUGGAUAGUUCACAAAUCAGAUUUGACAUUUUUCAAAAUAAAGUAAAAACUCAACAUGUGCUGUUACAUUUGUUCUGCAUGUUCUUCCUUAAGUAAGAAAAUUAGGGACUACAACCUAUCCUUUCAAAAUGCAGAUAUUUAAAUGAAGCAAACUGCAAAAGGCAAAAAUGUUCUUAUUUAUUCAUAAUGAUUAUUUAGGCAAUGAGGUCUGGUCCAGAAAUCUCUGUAAAGAAACAUAAUUUUCAUCCAAAUUCCAAUGCUGUUCAACUGCCAGAUCACAUUCUUUUUCUAGCUGUGGGAUAGUUGUAGUUCUGUAGCACAAUAAGUUCUUGUGAAA